GAUGAACGCUGGCGGCGUGCCUAAUACAUGCAAGUCGAGCGAACAGACGAGGAGCUUGCUCCUCUGACGUUAGCGGCGGACGGGUGAGUAACACGUGGAUAACCUACCUAUAAGACUGGGAUAACUUCGGGAAACCGGAGCUAAUACCGGAUAAUAUAUUGAACCGCAUGGUUCAAUAGUGAAAGACGGUUUUGCUGUCACUUAUAGAUGGAUCCGCGCCGCAUUAGCUAGUUGGUAAGGUAACGGCUUACCAAGGCAACGAUGCGUAGCCGACCUGAGAGGGUGAUCGGCCACACUGGAACUGAGACACGGUCCAGAAUCCUACGGGAGGCAGCAGUAGGGAAUCUUCCGCAAUGGGCGAAAGCCUGACGGAGCAACGCCGCGUGAGUGAUGAAGGUCUUCGGAUCGUAAAACGCUGUUAUUAGGGAAGAACAAAUGUGUAAGUAACUAUGCACGUCUUGACGGUACCUAAUCAGAAAGCCACGGCUAACUACGU
rnacentral:rRNA from 1 species